GUGGGGAAUAUUGGGCAAUGGGCGAAAGCCUGACCCAGCAACACCGCGUGAAGGAAGAAGGCCUUCGGGUUGUAAACUUCUUUUAUGAGGGACGAAGGAAGUGACUGUACCUCAUGAAUAAGCCACGGCUAACUACGUGCCAGCAGCCGCGGUAAUACGUAGGUGGCAAGCGUUGUCCGGAUUUACUGGGUGUAAAGGGCGCGUAGGCGGACUGGCAAGUCAGAUGUGAAAUCCAUGAGCUCAACUCAUGAACUGCAUUUGAAACUGUUGGUCUUGAGUAUCGGAGAGGCAAGCGGAAUUCCUAGUGUAGCGGUGAAAUGCGUAGAUAUUAGGAGGAACACCAGUGGCGAAGGCGGCUUGCUGGACGACAACUGACGCUGAGGCGCGAAAGCGUGGGGAGCAAACAGGAUUAGAUACCCCAGUAGUCC
rnacentral:rRNA from 1 species